GAAAUGCGAUAAGUAGUGUGAAUUGCAGAAUUCAGUGAAUCAUCGAAUCUUUGAACGCACAUUGCGCCCCUUGGUAUUCCAUGGGGCAUGCCUGUUCGAGCGUCAUUUGAACCCUCAAGCUCUGCUUGGUGUUGGGCGCUUGUCCCCCGCUUUUGCGCGGGGACUCGCCUUAAAGCAAUUGGCAGCCAUGUAAUCCGGCUUUGAGCGCAGCACAAUGCGUACUCUCUACUGGUACAUUGGCAUCCAGAAGCCCUUUUUUUUACUCUUGACCUCGGAUCAGGUAGGGAUACCCGCUGAACUUAAGC
rnacentral:misc_RNA from 1 species